GGAACCUGGAUAGAAAAAAGUAGAGAGCGAGAACGCCCGUGUUUAGUCGUGUCGACGUGAUUUGCUUUUGUCUAUUUACAUUACUGGGAUUAAGAGGCCAGUUUCACUAGGCGAUCAAUUAAAUAAAGGGGGGAAUAAUAAGAUUACAUGGUGUAUACAAAUCAUGGGUAGGAGAAUAAUAUAGUACAUAUUUAAAUUUGUUCUUUUUUUUUACAUCCAAAAGUUUCACAUAUGUACGUAUUUCUUCUUUUCGUUUUUUUUUCUUUUUUAGGUUAGGUUGAACUUUUGUGAAACUUUUCUGUCCCUCGAUCGUGCGUGAUCGAUAAUCAUCAUUCAGCGGCAGGUUUUUGGGAAGGAUAGAUACACGAAGAACAGUCGUCCUUUCUUUCUUUGCUCUGCUACUGGUGCCGCUUUUUUUAUUGGUGGCAAAUGAGACAAGUUCGUUCUACUGAGGCUAGAAAAAGGGAGACAGCUCCAGCGGUGUUCACGAGCAACCUACUUUGAUGUGCCUACGGGAUUCGAAAGAAAAUAUUCUCGGUGGUGAUAAGAUGCCGAUAACACAUACGGGAAAACCUGGCAGCGUCGAUGAACCGAUUGUGGCCUCGUACCUAUCAAAAAAAAAAAAAGAAAAAAAAAAGAAAAAGGUAA